rnacentral:tRNA from 1 species
GCCUCAGUAGUUCAGCCUGGUAGAACACGAGUUUCAUAAGCUCGGCGUCGGCGGUUCAAAUCCGCCCUGAGGCA